GAGCUCCUACGGGGCGCAGCAGUGAGGAAUAUUGGUCAAUGGACGAGAGUCUGAACCAGCCAAGUAGCGUGAAGGAUGACUGCCCUAUGGGUUGUAAACUUCUUUUAUAUGGGAAUAAAACGUUCCACUUUUUGUCUUUUUUAUGUACCAUCUGAAUAAUUAUCUUCUAACUCCUUUCCAUCAUCCUCUUUAAUACUUAUUAUCCUAUCUUUAUCCUUAUUUAUUGUUUUUAAAGUGAGCGUAGGUGUGUUG
rnacentral:rRNA from 1 species